rnacentral:rRNA from 1 species
CAGCCGCCGCAGUAAUACGUAGGGGGCGAGCGUUACCGGAUUCACUGGGCGUAAAGGGGGUGUAGGCGGCUCGGUAAGUCGGGUGUGAAAUCCCACGGCUCAACCGUGGAAUUGCGCCCGAAACUGCCGAGCUUGGGGCCGGUAGAGGGGGACGGAACUGCCGGUGUAGGGGUGAAAUCCGUAGAUAUCGGCAGGAACGCCGGUGGGGAAGCCGGUCUCCUGGGCCGCGCCCGACGCUGAGGCCCGAAAGCUAGGGGAGCAAACCGGAUUAGAUACCCGGGUAGUCCUAGCCGUAAACGAUGCCCACUAGGUGUGGGGGAGUAUUUCCUCCGUGCUGUAGCUAACGCGUUAAGUGGGCCGCCUGGGGAGUACGCCCGCAAGGGUGAAACUUAAAGGAAUUGGCGGG